AGGAUGGAUUGGGAAGAGAAUUUAUAAGAUUCAUGUGUGUGUAAAUAGACUUGAAAGUUCACAUACCAAUAGCUAAGGAAAUCUUCUAAAAUAUUCAUGUACAAUGAAUGAUAUCUUUUGGUAAGCUAUACAUGGGAUAAUAUCUUGGUAGAAGAUUCACUAAAUCUAGUGCAUUGAAGUCUUAAGGAUUUGAUGCUCAUGUGUGACCACAUAUACAACAAGCCUAUGUGUUGAGAGGCUCACCAUUCAUUGGCAUAGUCACAAGUUUGCCAUUUGGGAGCAUUUGACCAGUGUAAAGUUUAGCAUUUGGAAUGGAUAGAUAAAAUAAAUAAUAAAAUUAAAAGGUAGGGACUUUCAUAAAAUAUUUUUUUGUUUAUUUACUUAAAGUAAGCACAUCAGUGG
rnacentral:lncRNA from 1 species